rnacentral:misc_RNA from 1 species
AAUUCUCAACCAUGCCCUUGGCAUGGCUUGGACUUUGGGAGCCUUGCUGGCCUUUUCGGUCAGCUCUCCUGAAAUGCAUUAGCGAUGGGUGGGCAGUGACGUGCACGGCCUUCGACGUGAUAAUGAUCGUCGUGGCUGGAGCGUCUUUAUCUAUCCUCGCUCACAAUCUUCUACUAGCUUUUGGGGUUAGCAUUUGGCUACUAGUUUGGUCGUGAGACUUGACGAACGUCGGAGGCAAGACUUUCUUGGCUGGUCGAUUUCGAA